GGCACCCGGACACCCCGGCCUCACGCCCGCCGCGGCGCUGCGGACCCGGCCCCGCCUGAGCCCUCGCUGGCAGCGGCGAUCGCGAUCGGAGCGCCCACCCGAGCCUUCCCCCCCACGGGCAAGGAAAGUGAAGUGGAAACAAUGUGAAAUUCACCAGCUCUGAAAUCAACAAGCUGCCGGCUCGGGAGCUACGGAGCCAACAGCGGCGUCCCCAUUUAAAGGGACAGCGCACCCGGUGGAGAGAAGAAAUAAAUACUCGAAGAGGUCUGCGCGCCCGGAUCGCUCGCCAGCGUGUGUUCCGCAGACGCGCGAGGUGCGGACGUGUUCUCUCCACACCUCCGCCGCCCCCACUGGGCUCGCCAAGCGCAUUCAAGGAUAAAAGAGUCUUCUCGGCGGCUUCUAAGGGCGUGUCCCCGCGAGGACGUCUGUCUGCGGGCGCGUUUGCAUCUCUACCCCGGGAACCCCGACACCUUUAGAUGGCGAAAGGAACCUACCUGCUUUAAGGAAUAUGAAACCGAUCUUCUCUUUUGAAGGAAAGAGAUGAAAGGAAGAAUGAAGAGAAAGACAAUUACUGAAAGAUGUUCAAGAAUGUCUGAACUUUGUUUAAAAAAUAAUGCAUACAUCCAGAGUUUUGAAGAAUGCCUGAACAGUCCACCGUCUACGGAAGUACUAAGGUGUAAAACAUAUAUUUCCUCCUUCCUGGCUUUCUUAAUGUCUGAUUGUAGCAAGUUCUUUCAUUCCACCUUAUAUGAAGAAGUUCUGUGGUACGGAAACCUGCCAUGGGCCAUAGGUCUUAUUCCCCAAAUUUGCAUUCCAAGGAGAUCUCAGGAAAGAGCAAAGAACGGAUCUUCCUGUACCACAUUGAUUUACAUACUCAUGAAGGAAGCCGGUUCUCACAGCGAUACCUGUUUUGCUUUCCACGCCUCAUCAGAAAAGGAUCAUCUGACCCUGCACUGUAACAAGUUUAUUGGAAAACUUGGCUACUCCUCUCCCCAACCCUGCCCAGUGCAGUAUAUGAAUAGAAGGAGUUGUUUCUCCCGAUCUGAGACCUGAUAUGUUGAGUUGUGGUCCAAAUCUCAUUUUAAAUUCCAAGUCGCAAAACCUGGAGAGAGGGUGUUUGAGGAACAUGCUGAUUUUCCUUCAGCUCCAACAACUUUAUCACACUCAGCCAUAAAUAUACUUGGUGGAACAUGCCUUCUUAUUCUGCUUUCUCUAUUAGUACUUUCUAAGCAGAAACAAAACAGAACAAGGCUCACUCUCAAAUCACAAACCCUUUACAUUCCCCAGGGCUGCUUCUGUAAUCUAGUGGGGGGAAAGCAGAAGAAUUUUAAGAGGAAAGAAAAAAAAAAGAAAGGAGGAAAGAUAAAAAGAAAAUACUUUUCCCUCACUCUUCUUGCCUUCUGAUCAUUCUGUAACUGUGUGUAUUUUACCAGAAUUAACCCUAAAUAUUUGGGGGGUGGGGCAGGUAGGAGUAUAGAGGGUAUAUAAAUAUUAUGAAUGAGAAAAUUCAAACAAAACCACUGGUCUGGAAGUCUGGAGACUUCCACUCUAGUCCAGUUUUGGCUGUUAGUGAGUUGUGAUCACAGGAAAAAUUUCUCCUCAGAAUUUCCUUUUCCUCGUGUGUAAACAAACAGAAUUAGGUGUCAUCUGGGCUUGACAUUCUGAGAUUAUAGCUCUGACUUGAAAGGACAAAUAAAGCCACUUCGUGCCCCCACAC
rnacentral:lncRNA from 1 species